GUGGGGAAUAUUGGACAAUGGGCGAAAGCCUGAUCCAGCCAUGCCGCGUGUGUGAAGAAGGUCUUCGGAUUGUAAAGCACUUUAAGUUGGGAGGAAGGGCAGUAAGUUAAUACCUUGCUGUUUUGACGUUACCGACAGAAUAAGCACCGGCUAACUUCGUGCCAGCAGCCGCGGUAAUACGAAGGGUGCAAGCGUUAAUCGGAAUUACUGGGCGUAAAGCGCGCGUAGGUGGUUUUGUAAGUUGGAGGUGAAAUCCCCGGGCUCAACCUGGGAACUGCCUCCAAAACUGCAUGACUAGAGUACGGUAGAGGGUAGUGGAAUUUCCUGUGUAGCGGUGAAAUGCGUAGAUAUAGGAAGGAACACCAGUGGCGAAUGCGACUACCUGGACUGAUACUGACACUGAGGUGCGAAAGCGUGGGGAGCAAACAGGAUUAGAUACCCUUGUAGUCC
rnacentral:rRNA from 1 species